rnacentral:rRNA from 1 species
UGGGGAAUAUUGGACAAUGGGCGAAAGCCUGAUCCAGCCAUGCCGCGUGAGUGACGAAGGCCUUAGGGCUGUAAAACUCUUUCGUCGGGGACGAUAAUGACGGUACCCGAAGAAGAAGCUCCGGCUAACUUCGUGCCAGCAGCCGCGGUAAUACGAAGGGAGCUAGCGUUGUUCGGAAUCACUGGGCGUAAAGCGCACGUAGGCGGAUAGUUAAGUCAGGGGUGAAAUCCUGGGGCUCAACCCCAGAACUGCCUUUGAUACUGGCUGUCUCGAGGUCGAGAGAGGUUGGUGGAAUUCCUAGUGUAGAGGUGAAAUUCGUAGAUAUUAGGAAGAACACCAGUGGCGAAGGCGGCCAACUGGCUCGAUACUGACGCUGAGGUGCGAAAGCGUGGGGAGCAAACAGGAUUAGAUACCCACGUAGUCCCUGAGCGGGCUGGCAAGGCGCAU